GUCUAAGUUCUAGCCAACUUUAUAAUGGUGAAACCGCGAAAAGCUCAUUAAAUCGGCUUUGGUUCCUUAGAUAGUUUGCAGAUUGGAGUUUUUUUCGACUUGUUCGAAGAAAACAAAAUUCUGAAAUGGAUAACUGUGGUAAUUCUAGAGCUAAUACAUGAAAAAAAUUCGGUGCGAAACUGCGUUUUGUUUUAACAAAGAAAACGUAGGCUUUGCACGCUUUUAUUAGAGAAAAAAGCCAAUUUUAUAUUGUUUAACGUGUGUGUACGUUUUAAUCGAUAGCGGGGUAAAUCAAUUUGUUUUUCACUGUUAUUGCUAUGAAACGUGGCCACGUUAAACCAAUACUAAUUAAAAAAUUUUGGUGUUGAAUCUGAAUAACUUGAAUGGAUUCUCUUUCAAAGGAUACCGUUUCGAUUCGGAAUGGUAUUUGAUUAAAAGAGAAUUUAAAGCAGACCGCAUUAAAAGCUGCAAACAAAACGAUGAGAGUGCUGUAAAGCAUUCGAAUUAGUGUUUGUAGUUUAUGUGG
rnacentral:rRNA from 1 species